GACGAACGCUGGCGGCGUGCCUAAUACAUGCAAGUAGGACGCAGUUGCGAACGGGUGAGUAACGCGUAGGUAACUACCUAUUAGAGGGGGAUAACUAUUGGAAACAAUAGCUCAUACCGCAUACUAGUAGAUGGACCUGCGUUGUAUUAGCUAGUAGGUAGGGUAAUGGCCUACCUAGGCAACGAUACAUAGCCGACUUGGGAAGGUGAUCGGCCAAAACGGGACUGGGGCAAGGCCCAGAAUCCUACCGGGGGCCACAGUAGGGAAACUUCGGAAAUGGGGGGAAACCUGACCGAGCAACGCCGCGUGAGUGAAGGAAGUUUUCGGAUCGUAAAGCUCUGUUGUUAAGGAAGCGGUACUUAACCAGAAAGGGACGGCUAACUACGUGCCAGCAGCCGCGGUAAUAC
rnacentral:rRNA from 1 species